AGCGAACGCUGGCGGCAGGCCUAACACAUGCAAGUCGAACGCCCCUUCGGGGGAGUGGCGGACGGGUGAGUAACGCGUGGGAAUGUGCCCUUUGGUACGGAACAACUGAGGGAAACUUCAGCUAAUACCGUAUGUGCCCUACGGGGGAAAGAUUUAUCGCCAUUGGAGCAGCCCGCGUUGGAUUAGGUAGUUGGUGGGGUAAUGGCCCACCAAGCCGACGAUCCAUAGCUGGUCUGAGAGGAUGAUCAGCCACACUGGGACUGAGACACGGCCCAGACUCCUACGGGAAGCAGCAGUGGGGAAUCUUGCGCAAUGGGCGAAAGCCUGACGCAGCCAUGCCGCGUGAAUGAUGAAGGUCUUAGGAUUGUAAAAUUCUUUCACCGGGGAAGAUAAUGACGGUACCCGGAGAAGAAGCCCCGGCUAACUUCGUG
rnacentral:rRNA from 1 species